UAAGUUGUGGCUCAGUGGCAGAGCACUUGCCUGGCAUGUGUGAGGCACUGGGUUCAAUUCUCAGCACCACAU
rnacentral:tRNA from 1 species